rnacentral:rRNA from 1 species
ACGGGGUGCAGCAGGCGCGAAAACUCCACAAUGCACAAAUGUGUGAUGGGGUCAUCCCGAGUGCUGUCCGUUGAGGAUAGCUUUUGCCUAGUGUAAGGGACUGGGAGAAUAAAGGGGGGGCAAGUCUGGUGUCAGCCGCCGCGGUAAUACCAGCCCCCUGAGUGGUAGGGGCGAUUAUUUGGCCUAAAGCGUUCGUAGCCGGCUCAGUAAGUCUUUCGUUAAAUCUAACGGCUCAACCGUUAGACCGCGGAAGAUACUGCCUAGCUAGAGGAUGGGAGAGGUCGACGGUAGUCCUGGUGUAGGGGUGAAAUCCUAUAAUCCCAGGAGGACCACCAGUGGCGAAGGCGGUCGACUAGAACAUGCCUGACGGUGAUGGACGAAAGCUGGGGGAGCGAACCGGAUUAGAUACCCGGGUAGUCCCAGCUGUAAACGAUGCAGGCUAGGUGUUUGGGCGGCCACGUGCCGCUCUAGUGCCGCAGGGAAGCUGUUAAGCCUGCCGCCUGGGGAGUACGGCCGCAAGGCUGAAACUUAAAGGAAUUGGCGGGGGAGCAC